AUGAACGCUGGCGGCGUGCUUAACACAUGCAAGUCGAACGAGAAAUGUAGACGGAAACCUUCGGGCGGAAGCCUCCAUUUCGAGUGGCGGACGGGUGAGUAACGCGUGGGUAACCUGCCUCAUACAGGGGGAUAACAGUUGGAAACGACUGUUAAUACCGCAUAAGACCACAGCAUCGCAUGAUGCGGGGGUAAAAACUCCGGUGGUAUGAGAUGGACCCGCGUUCGAUUAGCCAGUUGGCGGGGUAACGGCCCACCAAAGCGACGAUCGAUAGCCGAUCUGAGAGGAUGACCCGCCACAUUGGGACUGAGACACGGCCCAAACUCCUACGGGAGGCAGCAGUGGGGAAUAUUGCACAAUGGGGGAAACCCUGAUGCAGCGACGCCGCGUGAGUGAAGAAGUACUUCGGUAUGUAAAGCUCUAUCAGCAGGGAAGAAAAUGACGGUACCUGAGUAAGAAGCCCCGGCUAACUACGUG
rnacentral:rRNA from 1 species